UGAAACGCAAAAAAAUUACAAUCAAAGAAAAUUCUCGUUGUCGGUCGAUCGACGAAUUUGUAUCGAAAUCGAUACAAAAUCCUGAUAAUUCGUCUUCGCUUAUACAUCGUGGUUGACAAAUUAUUAGAUCUAAAAAUAGGUUGUCUUCGUAGAGUUGUGUUCAAGCCGAUUGUCUGUUCUCAAACCUCAAACUUUGAAGACCAAGGAUCAGUUGCGAGUUGGAUUCUGAAGGAGGAAAGAUAUUUGGUGUUGUAUUUGGAGGUUUUUAGAGAUAUAAAUUUAAAAGAUUGCCAAAUCGCAACGGAGAAUAUCAAUCCAAAUAAACCGUGAUGCUCAAUCCCAAUCAACGGUGAGGAUCAAUCUAAGGAGUGGCCGGGUCAAGUAUACGAUCCGCGUGUGCCUUCUCAAGUUAGCCCAUCAGUCUUUAUAAAUAACCGAUCCAAUAGCCCAUUAUCCAUGGAUCUUUGUUUAUCAAAUUAUGCUUUUAACCUUCCACGUGUUUUUAAAUUUAGUCUUUGAAUGUAAUUUUUCUAAUGGCAAUCUUUGUAAUUUUUUACACUUUAUAAGGUUAUUUAAGUUAGAAUGAUUCCCAAUUAA